AGAGGGGGGUAGAAUUCCAGGUGUAGCGGUGAAAUGCGUAGAGAUCUGGAGGAAUACCGGUGGCGAAGGCAGCCUCCUGGGAUAACACUGACGUUCAUGCCCGAAAGCGUGGGUAGCAAACAGGAUUAGAUACCCUGGUAGUCCACGCCCUAAACGAUGUCGAUUAGCUGUUGGGCAGCAUGACUGCUUAGUAGCGAAGCUAACGCGUGAAAUCGACCGCCUGGGGAGUACGGUCGCAAGAUUAAAACUCAAAGGAAUUGACGGGGACCCGCACAAGCGGUGGAUGAUGUGGAUUAAUUUGAUGCAACGCGAAGAACCUUACCUGGUCUUGACAUGUGCGGAACCCUCCAGAGACGGAGGGGUGCCUUCGGGAGCCGUAACACAGGUGCUGCAUGGCUGUCGUCAGCUCGUGUCGUGAGAUGUUGGGUUAAGUCCCGCAACGAGCGCAACCCUUGUCAUUAGUUGCCAUCAUUAAGUUGGGCACUCUAAUGAGACUGCCGGUGACAAGCCGGAGGAAGGUGGGGAUGACGUCAAGUCCUCAUGGCCCUUAUGACCAGGGCUUCACACGUCAUACAAUGGUCGGUACAGAGGGUAGCCAAGCCGCGAGGUGGAGCCAAUCUCACAAAACCGAUCGUAGUCCGGAUUGCACUCUGCAACUCGAGUGCAUGAAGUCGGAAUCGCUAGUAAUCGCAGGUCAGCAUACUGCGGUGAAUACGUUCCCGGGCCUUGUACACACCGCC
rnacentral:rRNA from 1 species